UUUUUUAUCUCGAACUAAUACACAUAUGUCAAAACAUGACCUCCGGGAUUUAAAUUUCCAUGAGUGUUUACCUAAGAUUAUCUUUUAUAGAAUUUUGAUAAAUAAUUAGUGAUACAUUGUUAAUGUUCAUGAAAAGUAUUUAAAAUGUUUACAAAACAAUUAAUUUGUCAUUUACACUAAUGAGCUUGGGUGUGUAUAAAGUGAGGAUUAUGGCUUCCGUUGAUGAUCACCUAAAAACUACUCAAACGCCGUCUUUAAUCUUUUUAUAUUUUCUUUUGAAAAGAAAGAGUGAGAUAAAACAAAAUGAAUAGAAAUCAAAAUUUUCUUAAAUCUAUUGUGUCCGAGAAUAAACAAUUUUGUCAGCUAUAACCGAACUGAAUAACGAAACUAUCGAUUGGAAAUUACUCUCUUAGAAAAGCUAUAGGAUUUGUUUUAAAUUGAAACAAUUGAAUAAAUAAAAAUAAUGUCAUUAUAAUAAUAAAAGACUGUGACAUACAAAUACAUCGAUCUGAUACUAGAAUAUCGAUCCCCUUGUCAUAUUCACCCGGAUUUAUUUUAGCUUUACCAAGCUAAGCAAGAGUUGUGUCCCUUAGAUUGUCGAACUUCCGGU
rnacentral:lncRNA from 1 species